CACUUUUCUAGCAUGCAGAUCCCGCCAAACUAUCAACCGCCGGCUCCGCCAAAACCAAACAACGCCGGACUACUGGCCCUCUACACACAUAUUGAAAUGGUACACUACUGGCAUCAUUUCAAGAUGGAAUGGAUUUGGAACCUGCUGUUGAGACAAGAUUCGGUGUGAGAUGGGCCUUGGGCCAUUUGAAACCUCAGCCACAUCUUCCCCGGUCAUUAUUGUUAGGUUAAGCAUUCUCUCUGUCACACACACACACACAAAGACUGUGUGUCGCUUAACCCACGUGCAAAACCCGCAGAGGGCAAGGUUCCAGCCGGAGCAGCUGCGCACCCAGGAAAAAAGCUUUUAAAAAGACUCGCUACCCCGGGGUUGGUGUCCGCGAGUCCCUGGCACGAAGGACCGGGCUGUCAGCAACCAGGGUACAGUUUCCAUAGACAGCGGGCAGCUUUAACAGCCACUUGCUGCCGUCUUGGACCUGUCCUGUGGCCAGUGACCCCUGACCCACGUGACCCUGUGUCUCCGUUUUUCGAGGCUGUUCCCCAGACUACAGCCCGCUUGGGUCCUCGUUGAAGAACCAUGUGGUCACCAUAGUUGCAAUCAGUCCAAUCUUCAUAACCGCUGACGUCGAGACAGUCCGGAUUUCUCCUCACAUGAAAAGUUUCUCCCCAAGUUUCUAAAGACUCAAAGUGCUACUCGUAGUUCCUUUUUCUUUAAAUUCAGAACUUCUGAAUAUUUCAAUUAAUUCAAGUUCCAACACAGAGAAAAUAGUAAAGAAUCUGA
rnacentral:lncRNA from 1 species